GGGCUCCCUUUUCUUUUUUCUUUCUCCUUCUUCUUCGAUGUUUCUGAAGAUUUUAUUCCCACGUAGGAUGUGUACAAUUGAGCAAAACAAAGAUCAGGGAUCCAAUGUAGAAAGAAAGCAUUUCAAAGAUGAUUUGACGUGCCAAGUUUCGGGAAUCCUCGAGAUAAUCUCCUUGGGAGUCGCCAAACACGAGGCGAUCAGGCAAACCAGAGCGGUUGCUUGUUCUUCUCGUUCGGAUCCUGCAAUGGAGAAGGCGAAGGACUCGGCAGAUGCAGCAGCGAUGGGCGGAGAUGUCGCCUCGGGCAGCAGCGACUACUACGAUGUGUACCUGAAUUUCAAAGGAUCCGACACUCGCUACGAAUUCGUCGACUUCCUGUACCGGAGCUUGGUUGAUGCUGGAAUCCGCGUCUUCCUAGACAUAGAAGAACUUCAACCCGGUGAUGAAAUAGGCAGGCAGCUUCUGAGAGCAAUUGACAGGGCCAAGAUCUUCAUCCCCAUCUUCUCCAGAAACUACGCUUCCAGCGAGUCGUGUCUCCUGGAGCUCGCGGCAAUGGUGGAAAGCAAGGUCAAAUCGGGUGGUGGGAAAACGAUCAUCCCCAUAUUCUACGACGUGGAACCUCGUGAUGUUAGGCUUGAAACCCCUCUGUACCGCGAUGCCCUAUCAGAGCACAAGAAGAGCUUAGGGUCCGACAGAGUAGAAGCGUGGGAAUAUGCUCUUGCGGAGAUCGCUUCGUUUCGUGGAUGGGUCACAGGAUCAAGAAGCCCGUCUCACAUUGUCAGAGAAGUCAGAGGAUUCGUGGUCAAGCUGAAGAGAGAUUGGGAUAAUAUCGCAAUGAAGAAGGGGAAGGACUCAGCAGAUGCAGCAGCAAAGGGUGGAGACGUCGCCUUUGGUACCCACUACGCCGAUGUGUAUUUGAGUUUCAGAGGAGCCGACACACGCUCUGUAUUUGUCGACUUCCUUUGCCAUAGCUUGGCUGAUGCCGGAAUCUGCUUCUUCAAAGACAACGAAGAACUUCCGCCUGGUGGAGAGAUUGGCCAGGAGCUGCUAAGAGCAAUCAACAUAGCCAAGAUCUACAUUCCCAUAUUCUCCAGAAGCUACGCUUACAGUGCAUGGUGUCUCUGGGAGCUUGAGGCAAUCGUAGAGAACAAUGAGAAGUCGGACGAUGGGAAAAUGAUCAUCCUCAUAUUCUACGAUGUGGAACCUCGUGAUGUUGGGCUUAAAACCACUCUGUACCGCAAUGCCCUAGAGGAGCACAAGAAGAGGCAUGGGUCCGAGAAAGUAAGCGCAUGGGAAGAUGCUCUUGCGGUGGUUGCUUCAUUACAUGGAUGGGAAAUGGGAUCUAGCAGGCCGUCUCAUGUUAUCAGACAAGUCGUUGGAGAAAUCGUGGUCAAGCUGAAGGAGGUUCGAAAGAAAGACGAAGCAAUAGAACCAGGGGUACCUAUCGGCAAACAAGUGGAGGACAUGAUGGACUUACUUGAUUUAGAAGUCAGUGAUGUACGAAUAAUUGGAAUCUUGGGGAAGGGUGGGGUCGGCAAGACGACUCUUGCCAAGGUCAUUUACGAGCAAAUUUCCUCUCAGUUCGACAGUUGUAGUUUCCUUGCAGAUAUUGGGGCAACGGCGAAACAACUUGGAGGUGUUCGGCUUUUGCAAAGCAAGUUGAUGUCUGAUAUCCUAAACCGAGAAUACGAGGUUGAUCAAGUUGCAAAAGGAGUCGAUUUCUUUAAAGGAAUAUUGCGGAACAUGAAAGUCCUAAUUAUUCUUGAUGAUGUGGAGGUACGGUCGCAUCUCCACGAAAUUGUUGGAGAGAAGCUUGAUUGGUUUGGUUAUGGAUCUAGGAUAAUUGUCACCACUAGUAUCAAAUCUGUUAUUCCAGAGUUCAUAUCUCGAGGGUUGGCUCAUGUUUAUGGUAUCAACGUGAUGAAUAAUGAUCAAGCUCUUGAACUUUUCAGAAAGCAUGCACUGCGAAGAAAUCUUCCAAUUCCAGAUUUUGAUGAAAUUGCAACAGGUAUAAUCAACUCUGUGAAUGGGAUCCCAUUACUUAUCGAAGUAAUUGGUUCACUCUUGUCCAGAAAAGUAGUAGAAGAAUGGACCGCACUUGAGGAGCUAAUUUUGCAAUCUGGCCAGGAUAUUGAAAAGAUUUUGAUGGUUAGUUAUGAAGAAUUGAGCAAAGAGCAAAGAGAGAUAUUUCUUGAUAUUGCAUGCCUCCCUGCUGAUGUGGAUGGUCGACUUGCUUCAUUCAUGUGGCAUAAUCCCAAUUUCCCCCCCUCCGAUGGAGUUGAUGCACUCCAUGCCAUGUCCCUGGUAAAAAUUGGAAAAGAUAAUGAACUAGGGAUGCCCAGGCUGUUAAGGGAGUUUGGCCAACAAAUCAUACGAAAAGAGGAUCAUCUAGAUCCAGGAAAGCAAGGCAGGUUAUGCAAUUUGGAAUUGGCCUGGAAGACAGAGAAGAUGGAGGGGACAGACCACCUCAACUUUGAUGCGAGAGAUUUUAAGACCAUGCCAAACAUAAGGUUUCUUAUCUUGGAUUGUGCAAAAGUUGUUGGUGAUUUUGCCAAUGUUUUCCCAAAUUUAAAGUGGCUCCAAUGGCAAGGAUGCACCAGAGAUUUUGAAGCUACUAAUUUUCAUGUCGAGAAAUUAGUCAUUCUUGACCUUUCAUGGAGCAAAGUCACUGAAGAGUGGGGAGGUUGGAGAAAAAUCAAGAUGCCACAGUUGAAAGUCUUGAAUCUUACUGGUUGUGUUGACCUAUUGAUAAGCCCUGACUUGUCCUCUUUCCCAGACUUGGAGAUAUUGAUUCUUGAACGAUGUUCUCGACUAAUGAAGUUAGAUCCUUCCAUCCGUCAUCUAAAAUGCUUAACUACCUUAAAUUUGAGGUUCUGCGACGAACUCAAUAUGUUGCCAAUUGAACUGGGUCACAUGAAAGCUCUAAAGGAGCUCCUUAUUGAUGGGACUUCGGUACAAGAAAUUCCUGUGUCAAUGGGUUACAUGGAGAAACUUGAGAUUUUUAGUGCCUCCAACUGUCUCCAAUUAAGUCACCUGCCUGAUUCAGUUCGUGGCUCGACAGCUCUUUCAGAACUCUCACUGGAAAAUGCAAAAAUUACUCGAAUCCCUGCCUCAGUUGAAAAGCUGGGGAAACUUCGGAUCCUGUCUCUAAAGGAUUGUCGUUGGAUAGGAAGACUUCCGGAUUCAAUUCGCAAUUUGGGAAACUCAUUAGAGGAGUUGGAUAUAACAGGGACAGGCAUAUCUGAAUUGCCCAAUUCAAUUACUUGCUUGGGGCGUUUAAAAGUGUUAAAAAUGGAUUCUUGCUUCAUUAGAGAAUUGCCCAGAGAAAUUGGAAAUUUGGUCAACCUUGAAGAGUUACAUGCUUCCCAUUGUAGGAGUUUGAAGGGAACCAUUCCAACCGCAAUUAAGAGUCUAGGUCAUCUGAGGAUACUGAGAUUGGGACAUUCAAGUAUUUCGGGCAUUCCUUCGGAAAUUGGAAGUCUUUCUUGUCUUCAGACUCUUGAUUUACUUCGGUGCAACAAGAUUCAAGCGCUGCCAGAGCUUCCCUCCGGUUUAACUUGUCUGCGUGUGAGUUCUGAAAGGAUGGAGGCCUUGCCAGAUCUUAAGGAUUUAGUGAAGUUGGAGGAAAUAUGUCUGGGUGAUAAAGAUCCUAAGGAGCUCAUAUGUCCCUCAACAUGGAUGGAGCCAAAAUCCAGAUCGAGUGAUCUCUUAGUUGUGCCCAUAGUACUUCCAAAACUGAAGAUGUUAGAGUUGUCUCAUUCUCAAGUCGGUGAACUGCAACUUGGGCAUGGUUCCCUCUCAUGUACACAUCUUAAGAAGCUAGUUCUAUCUGGUGUGAAUCUUGAAAAUGUGCCAGAACUUCCCUCAUCAUUGUCCGUUUUAUCUAUUCGACGUUGUUUGUCUUUGAGACAAUUGCCAGCAGUUCACCAUCUGAGCAAACUUGCAGAACUAAAUCUCGUCCAAUCUGCGGUAGAAGAGAUUAAGGGGCUUCAAGGACUAACUGCUCUUGAAAUCUUGAAUAUAACGCACUGUGAAAUGCGCAAUCUCAAUGGGCUUGGCCAAUUAGGAGAGUUACGAAGUUUGAUUUUGUCAGACUGUCAUUCACUUGGUGGAUUACCCGAUAUAUCAAACUUGAAGAUGUUGAAUGUCCUAGUAGUCCAAAGAUGCAGGAUGAUCCAUGAUUUUAAAGGCCUUAAGGAGUUAACCUCCUUGGAAGUGCUGCAUGUUAAUGAAUGCGAGGCAGAAAGCACACAGCAAGUACAGGAUGCAUCAAAAGCUCGCGUGCUGAAAUGUUCAAUGAACAGUUGAUGUCCUGUGCUCCUGGAGUGGACAUUCAGUUAUUUACAUGGCUCUUCAGACACAAUCAAAACCAUUCAGCUGUGGAGGGCAGCAUCAUUGAAGUCCACCACGAAAUUGAGUUGGAAAACUGGCGCAAAAAUUGCUGGAGCUGCACUUUGAAUUUUGGCACCAAAAGUUUUUCGAGUCCUCCAUCUAUCAAAAGUGGAACCAAGUGCCAUAAACAAGCACCCUUGCACGACCUCAAAGGUUAUCGGAUCCUUCAUAUUCCUUCCUCUCUCACCAAUCCAUCUUUCUAUCCAGUCUCUCUCAUUCAACUGGUGACUUAAGUCAUUUCCUGUAAAUUCGGAAUGAUUUAAAUCCAAAGAGAUCUUGAAAAUCUGGAGGCACUGCAAGGAAUUUUCUUGUGUCAAAGGCAUCUCCAAUUCUUUUACGGUAUACAUAAGCACAAUUUAGGGGCACAGUUGGUAGCACUCACAUGUGCACGAACCCCCCAUAGAGCCGGUUGUCUGGCAUGUCAUGUGAAAGGUGUAGAUACAAAUACUUCAUUUAGUGCAAGACAUGCUCGGUCGAGACUCUUCUUCAUGGAAUGUUGUUUCUUGGGUUCAGAUUAAUCCGAGAGCCUACACUAUACAGAAGAUUUUAGUCUUUAAACUAGCCCAGAGGGCAUGAGUUUACUACAGCUGGAGAACUCGAAAACAUCAGUUCCGUUGUCCUGGAACUCACAUUUGAAUCGAAAACAUUUCAGUUGUUUUCUUGCUGAUGUAAUGUGUAUGAAACACCCCAGGCGACAUAAAUGUCCCUCUACUCAAAUGAAGCCAUCGUCACAAUAA